rnacentral:lncRNA from 1 species
AGAAAUAUCACUGUCAGAGCCUGCCAAACCUGGGUCUGCCCACGUACAAUCACGAACACCACAAGGUGGGUUGUACAACAGACCAUGCCUGCAUAGACUGAAGUACUUCUUACGACCUCCGGUUCAUCAUCUGUUCUUUCAGACGCUAAUACCGGAUAAAGACACGAGAGAACAAGGGUCAAAAAUUAGAACCCAUCCCUCAUCGAAGACUAAGAAUGGUAACAAAUACCAUUGAAGAGAAUUUUCCCCUGGGGACUGUGCAGUUUUUGAUGGACUUUGUGUCACCCCAGCAUUACCCACCAAGAGAAAUCGUGGCUCACAUCAUCCAGAAAAUCUUGCUCAGUGGCUCUGAGACUGUGGAUGUCCUAAAGGAGGCCUACAUGCUUCUCAUGAAAAUUCAACGGCUACAUCCAGCCAAUGCCAAGACAGUGGAGUGGGACUGGAAACUGCUCACCUAUGUCAUGGAGGAAGAGGUUUUGGGGGAACAGGUGGUGUUUGGGUGCAUAGAACCCAGCACCGAGAGGGACCAUCAGAGGAUGUUCCAUGAGAACUUGGUGAGGGUUGUGGAGAGGUUGGCUGGUGCUUCUCCGUCUUCAUACAGAUGUCCAGACAGGGGACCAGAAGUCUCAGGUCUGAGCUCUACCUGGAAGCCCCUCACGUCUGUAGCCAUCAAACCUCCAGAUAAGACGAGCCCUGAAGCAUUUUGGUUGCAUCAGAAAACAGAUGGAAGGCCAGUCUUCACAGAUGCAUAUACUUCAUCCUGGCUUCCACCCACAGAGGUUGCAUCUGUGCAGAAAUUCAUCCCAGAGCACCAGGCAGGUGGGUGUCAACUCCUGCU